UGGGACCCGUCCUCGGUCGGCGAGGAUCGUGGUGAUUGAUAUCGUGGCAGGCUUCACCAUGGUAUUGUUGUAUCGACACUAGACUACCAUUUUAUUCUGCUGUUUUGAACUCCGAAUACUACUUUAUGCAUUUGAACUCUUGAGUUGUAAUAACUUAAUUUGGAACCUGUAAUAAUUUAUCUGGAUUUUUGUAAUCUCUGGACUCAUCUUCGUGCGAGUAUGCUUUGUUUCGAUCCGAAACUUGUGGUUGCAUCAGGUGAAACUGAUAGAGUCGGAGUGCCCGAUCUUUCGGUGAGUAGAGAUAAAUUCGACUUGGUGGAAGUAGACCCCACGAUCCGACUACGACGAGCAAACCUGAAGCGCCAAUGCAAUCGCUGAACCAACUUCCUGUGGUUACCAACCUUGCCAGCGCAAGAUCAGCCUGAUCACGAAGAUUGAUUCCUGUCCGCAAUCGAAGAACGAACAAGAAAAAGAGGCGAGCAAUCUAAAUAUCACUCGAAGGUGGAGUUCUGAAUCACACAAGGACAGCGCGUAUUUGCGCGCGUUCAAGAGUAGCUAAAGCUAGAUGUAAAACAAAACUCAAGUCGUAAACAAAAGGGACUCUGACUAAAUAAAGGGGGCGCAGCCCUUGGAGUCCAGAGGAGGCGCGACGGCAGGAGGGGGGCACGCGCGACCAGGGGGAGGGCCACGGCUCCCAACCCUAGGCGCCCCAACUGGGCUGCCCUGUUGGGCCAUCUUCUUAUUCCGCUGGGCCUUCGUUCCUUAAGAGCAUGAUGAAGUUUAAUUCUCUCGCACGGGCCCGAGUGAUUGGCCCAACUGGAUGAUCAACUGUAGGCGCCUGAGGUGGAAGAGCAACCGGAGGCGCCUGAGGUGCUGCUG
rnacentral:lncRNA from 1 species